UACGGGAGGCAGCAGUGGGGAAUAUUGCACAAUGGGCGCAAGCCUGAUGCAGCCAUGCCGCGUGUAUGAAGAAGGCCUUCGGGUUGUAAAGUACUUUCAGCGGGGAGGAAGGCGAUGCGGUUAAUAACCGCGUCGAUUGACGUUACCCGCAGAAGAAGCACCGGCUAACUCCGUGCCAGCAGCCGCGGUAAUACGGAGGGUGCAAGCGUUAAUCGGAAUUACUGGGCGUAAAGCGCACGCAGGCGGUCUGUUAAGUCAGAUGUGAAAUCCCCGGGCUUAACCUGGGAACUGCAUUUUGAACUGGCAGGCUUGAGUCUUGUAGAGGGGGUAGAAGUUCCAGGUGUAGCGGUGAAAUGCGUAGAGAUCUGGAGGAAUCCGGUGGCGAAGGCGGCCCCUGGGACAAGACUGACGCUCAGGUGCGAAAGCGUGGGGAGCAAACAGGGAUUAGAUACCCG
rnacentral:rRNA from 1 species